rfam:Ciona savignyi cont_37548, whole genome shotgun sequence.
GCAUAUCACCAUUCCAGAUUGAAUAUACCCGAUCUCGUCUGAUCUCGGAAGUCAAGCAAUCUCGGGCUUGGUUAGUACUUGGAUGGGUGACCGCUUGGGAAUACCAACUGUGAUAAGCA